rnacentral:lncRNA from 1 species
UUUUCUAACUAUAACAUGAGAGUAUAUAUAGAAUGAGGAGGGAGGCUCAAGCUAGUAUUCAAGUUCACAUUCAACUGUGAACUUCCGCUCAUUACAAAAAGAUGUGUCAUUCAGCUACGUAGAAACACCGGUACAUAUGUGUCACUCAUUCUACAUUAUUUCUGCCAAAGGAAUUAACGCAUGCCAAACCAGUGCUACUAUUCGGCACUUUAUUGACACAGAAAACAAGGAGUUCUCUUAACUCUCUCAGGACGCUCUCACACACGGACACACGGGCACACACAAUUAAUACCGGAGAAAUCAGCAAAAUGCAACAGAAAAUGCAAGAAUGAAGAACGAGCCGGUGGAUCGGAUGCAUAUAUAGUGGGAUAAUCUCAGUGAUGCUGCGGGUCUGGCCCUCCGGGGCUCAGCCUCUUGGACCCGGACACGACGCCGCCGUCGCCGCCGUCCUCCGCCGCCACCACGG